rnacentral:rRNA from 1 species
UACGUAGGGUGCAAGCGUUGUCCGGAAUUAUUGGGCGUAAAGAGCUCGUAGGCGGUCUGUUGCGUCGGCUGUGAAAACCCGAGGCUCAACCUCGGGCCUGCAGCCGAUACGGGCAGACUAGAGGUAUGCAGGGGAGAACGGAAUUCCUGGUGUAGCGGUGAAAUGCGUAGAUAUCGUAAGGAAGACCAGUGGCGAAGGCGGGUCUCUGGACAGUUCCUGACGCUGAGGCACGAAGGCCAGGGGAGCAAACGGG